rnacentral:tRNA from 1 species
GGGAAUGUGGCUCAGUGGUAGAGUGCCUGUUUAGCAUGCAUGAAGCCCUGGGUUUGAUUCCUCAAUACCA